rnacentral:lncRNA from 1 species
CUUGUAUAGCAGAGAAAUGGGAAAACCAGUUCUCUGAGCAUUUGCUGGCUGGCACAUUUGUGCUUACUCUUCCACAGCUUUCCAUGGGUCUUCUAAAGGUCAGGCUUCACCUCUGCUGAGACAGCCUGCUCCUGCCAACUUGCACUGUCUCCAAAGAGCAAACCAGGAAGGCUCAUUUCAUUCUCUCCAGUGCACAACCACCAACAGCAGGUCUCACCUGGCCAGAAAUGAGGGCCCAGCUCAGAAGCCUGAACACCAACUACUCUGACCCAGUGCUAUGAAGCCGCAAGGCUUUACAGCACAGGUCUGGAUGUUGGCCCAGACAUCAGACUCCAUUGGCUCUUCCGAUAAAGGUCUCUCCCAGGAGUCAGGAGUGGCUGCCCUUGAGAAAGCUUCUUUUUUAAGAUGUCCAGCCCACAUCCCUGUUGAUUUGAGCAAGGACCUGGCUCACAAAAGAGGCAGAUGCCUUCUGCAGUACAUUGAGCUUCACCCUGCCUCAGGCCAGGCAUAAAGUGGGGAGGGCAGAAAUGCAACCAGACUACCAGCCUGUGAACACGGCCUGGGACUGAAGGGAA